rnacentral:rRNA from 1 species
UACGGGGGGAGCAAGCGUUGUUCGGAUUUACUGGGCGUAAAGGGCGCGUAGGCGGCCUACUAAGUCAGACGUGAAAUCCCCCGGCUUAACCUGGGAACUGCGUCUGAUACUGGAAGGCUUGAGGAUGGGAGAGGGAUGUAGAAUUCCAGGUGUAGCGGUGAAAUGCGUAGAUAUCUGGAGGAAUACCGGUGGCGAAGGCGGCAUCCUGGACCAUUACUGACGCUGAGGCGCGAAAGCUAGGGGAGCAAACGGG